CUCCCACCCCGCUCAUGCUUCAAGUGCGACAUGUUUUUUGUUCGCAAUAGCUGCUCUAGUACGUAGUACUUACUACCUCAGUGACAUAACAUUACAGACUUUUGACGUUUAUACACCGAUAUGAGCUUUCUCAUUCACUCAACUUACUGCAUCGUUAGUUA